ACUUUUGUUUCUUGCUUCUGUAACUCGCUUCUUACCUCACAUAAUUCCUGCCUUAAAAUGUUUAAAAGUAGGAAAAGCCCUUUGUUUGGGGCUCAGACUUUCUGGACAUAUGUCCAGCUGGGCCAGUGAUGACCUUAAUAGACUCUCCUGAACCUUUUUUGGUCUCUCCAGUCUUUGAUUGUCCUGUAACAUUUCUGGGGGCUUAUCCGGGAUUGGAGAUGGCAGAUUUUCUGUCUUCUUUGCCUGUGGGCUAGAGCCCCAGGAUGUGGGAGAUCUGGGGUCCUUGGCACCGCUGGGAGAGUUUCAGCCUGGAAGGAGAAUGGCCCUCCCGCAUUCCAGAGCCUUCCCCUGACAGCACCAAAGGAACCAGUGGAAAGGGUUGCAGGACAGUCACAGGAGCAGUGCACAGACAUCUGAACCAUGUUGCAGGUAUCAUACCUUGGGUUCUUCAUAGCCAGCUGAAACCAACAGCAGCCACUGCCCAGGACCAGUGGACCAGUCAACAAUACCCAGACCACCCAACACGGCUGAUCCUACAGUGAAAUCAAGCCACUGCUGACAAGAACAACUGAACAACUGCCCUGCUCCAACCACACCAGAGGCUGGGUCAGUCCACGCAUGGCUGAAGCUUAAGGAAACAUCGAGCCCUGUUCUAGUCACAACUGGAAGCUGACUAGUCUACGCAUGGCUGAAGCCUGAGAAAGUCAAUGAUAGAUAAGUAAAUUUCUUUGAAGAAAUGCCUCAGGAUGUUGAUCCCACUUGUUUAAAAUUUCCAUUGGAAGCUCUGCUGUUGUCUGCAGCUGAACUGGGAGCAAUAAUUUUGGCAUCCUUGAAGAGAAAAAUUUACUCAACUUUAAUUUUUCAGUCAGAAUCAUGAAAGUUGAAUCAAUUGAGAUGUCUACGGUGUUGGCUACUGUUUCUGCUGUGAAUUGUUGGUCCUUUUUAGUUCAGGCAUGAACAAGAUUACUUUUUCCUCACAAAUUUAUGUGGAUGGUCUGCCAGUGUGGGCUUCAUCUUUUACAUCAUCUAAUACCUUCUUAAAACAAGUUACCCAUUUAUAAGCUGCUAAUUUUGGGACGUCAUUAUUCUAUAAACUUUUCAUAAAGCA
rnacentral:lncRNA from 1 species